AUUGAACGCUGGCGGCAGGCCUAAAACAUGCAAGUCGAGCGGAUGAAGGGAGCUUGCUCCUGGAUUCAGCGGCGGACGGGGGAGUAAUGCCUAGGAAUCUGCCUGGUAGGGGGGGAUAACGUCCGGAAACGGGCGCUAAUACCGCAUACGUCCUGAGGGAGAAAGGGGGGGAUCUUCGGACCUCACGCUAUCAGAUGAGCCUAGGUCGGAUUAGCUAGUUGGUGGGGUAAAGGCCUACCAAGGCGACGAUCCGUAACUGGUCUGAGAGGAUGAUCAGUCACACUGGAACUGAGACACGGUCCAGACUCCUACGGGAGGCAGCAGUGGGGAAUAUUGGACAAUGGGCGAAAGCCUGAUCCAGCCAUGCCGCGUGUGUGAAGAAGGUCUUCGGAUUGUAAAGCACUUUAAGUUGGGAGGAAGGGCAGUAAGUUAAUACCUUGCUGUUUUGACGUUACCAACAGAAUAAGCACCGGCUAACUUCGUG
rnacentral:rRNA from 1 species